rnacentral:rRNA from 1 species
AGUGAACGCUGGCGGUAGGCCUAACACAUGCAAGUCGAACGACAGCACAGUAAGAGCUUGCUCUUACGGGUGGCGAGUGGCGGGCGGGUGAGGAAUACAUCGGAAUCUACUUUUUCGUGGGGGAUAACGUAGGGAAACUUACGCUAAUACCGCAUACGACCUACGGGUGAAAGCAGGGGAUCUUCGGACCUUGCGCGAUUGAAUGAGCCGAUGUCGGAUUAGCUAGUUGGCGGGGUAAAGGCCCACCAAGGCGACGAUCCGUAGCUGGUCUGAGAGGAUGAUCAGCCACACUGGAACUGAGACACGGUCCAGACUCCUACGGGAGGCAGCAGUGGGGAAUAUUGGACAAUGGGCGCAAGCCUGAUCCAGCCAUACCGCGUGGGUGAAGAAGGCCUUCGGGUUGUAAAGCCCUUUUGUUGGGAAAGAAAAGCAGCAGGUUAAUACCCCGCUGUUCUGACGGUACCCAAAGAAUAAGCACCGGCUAACUUCGUG